rnacentral:rRNA from 1 species
UACGUAGGGUGCGAGCGUUAAUCGGAAUUACUGGGCGUAAAGCGUGCGCAGGCGGUUUUGUAAGCCAGAUGUGAAAGCCCCGGGCUUAACCUGGGAAUGGCAUUUGGGACUGCAAGGCUUGAGUGCGGCAGAGGAGACUGGAAUUCCUGGUGUAGCAGUGAAAUGCGUAGAUAUCAGGAGGAAUACCGAUGGCGAAGGCAGGUCUCUGGGCCGUAACUGACGCUGAGGAGCGAAAGCAUGGGGAGCGAACAAG